rnacentral:rRNA from 1 species
GAUGAACGCUGACAGCAUGCUUAACACAUGCAAGUCGAUGGGGAAGUGGUGCUUGCACCAUGGUAACCAUGGCGGACGGGUGAGUAACGCGUAAGGAACUUACCUGCGGGACCGGGAUAACAGCCGGAAACUGCUGACACGACCGGACAAGGUCAUUAAGCUGCAUGGCUUAGUGAUGGAAGGAGACGCCUGCGGAGAGCCUUGCGUCCUAUUAGCUAGGUGGGGGGGUAACGGCCCACCAAGGCGAAGAUAGGUAGACGGCCUGUGAGGGUGGACGGCCACAAGGGGACUGAGAUACGGCCCUUACUCCUACGGGAGGCAGCAGUGGGGAAUAUUGGACAAAGGGGGCAACGCUUAUCCAGCAAUUCUGUGGGCACGAAGACGGUUUUCGGAUUGUAAAGUGCUUUCAGCAGGGAAGAAGGAAGUGACGGUACCUGCAGAAGAAGCGACGGCUAAAUACGUG